UCCAUUAAUUUGCCGACCAGAAUUACGGUUCACCACAAUGAUUGCAGGUAAUGCACUCAACAGAAGCUCCACGGAAGUGACAUCUUGCUGCAGAGGAGCACAUUGUAGCUGGGAGUUUGUGCUAGUAGAAUGGAGAAGUUUUGAAGCAAGCGCCAUGGUGGUUAUUUUCCAGCGCGUAUGUUUCCUCCCUUUUGCUGCAAUGUUGUGGGCGUCAGGGGCUGUCCAGGAAUUAGAACGUGAGGGUGCCGCCACUUUGUUAAAAAAUGCAGUCUUGGUCGCACAAAAUCAGCGCAGUAAACUCUCAUCGGCUCCAUCUCCAUGUUGGUCAAUCCCGAGAGACGACGUUCACAUUCCUGAGGAGCACUCGUUUUACGAGCCUGUGUACUGUACGGGCAAAGGGUGCAAUAAUUUGGCUAGAUUGUGGAACAAGUUUAGAUAUAUCUCAUUUUCUCACGUUGGUUGUGCACAUUGCUAUCCCCAAACUUGCCCCUACACGCCUGACAUGAUGGCCCCUGAACCUGUGACAAUGCUCGUCAAGAUUUAUGAUCGGACCUAUAGUGUUAUAUGUCCCAGCGAGCAGCGGAUGAAGGAUCUUAUGCUGGAGUUUGCUACGCAAUGCAGAGGCCGCCUGAAGCCCACAGGAGGACGAAGAUUUUUCAUCUGCAUUCACUGCAGGAAGUCUACAUUCUCUAACAAGCUCAUGCUUAAUCAGCACAGGUUUGAGAAAGGAUGUGAAUCUGCGAAGUAUCCGGACGAAAUUAAAGCACUCUUACUUCCUUAUCCCGACUUUCUUCCGAGGCAAGGGAAGAUAGUGGAGGGCAUGCAGAAGUGUGCAAGUACGAAGGGCAAGAAGAAGUCCUGUAGUGAAACUGUAAACACUCCAAUUAAAGAAGAAGAGACCAUUGUAGAAGAUGAGGAGUUGGGUGCUCACUUUGUUGGGUUGCCUCCAUCAAAGAAACAGAAGGGUAGAGUUACAGAGGAUGAAGCAUCUCAUUUGGUAGAGACGGUCGUGCCAUCUGAUUUGUUCUUCGAGGCAGCACCACUAGAGUUGGAGAAGGCGAUUCUCAAAGGGAAGAAGGGUAAAAAGGCCGCCGCUUUUGUAUAGAAGGCGGAUGAAGAACGCGACCAUGAAGAAGAGCCCUCUCCUUCAAAGAAGGUGGUGCAGCCGGGUGGGACUGGACGAGGAUUGAUGAAGGUUACAGCAAUGGCUCGUGACAAAAGCCUGUAAGAGUCAAGAUGCACGGAGACGAGGCAGCCAACAAGACAGGUCCCGUGCAACGAUGGUGGUGAACAUCUUGAUCCGUGUUUCGGUGUCAGCAAAAAUGAUAAGAGAACACGGGCGCGUUAUAGGGCCAGUCACAAUUCUCAAGCAGAGCCUUUGGAUGCAGGUCUUACGUGUGGCGUGACACAGCCUCCACCAACAUCUAUGUUGUCACUGUCUUCCGCUGCCCUCCCUGUAACACUAGCUCAACCUGAAUUGAAGAUUGUACCAGAGGCAGGUCGUACACAAGAAGUUCUACAACAAAGAGUUCAUGUCUCAAGGAGGGUGUCAAAAUGAUUACAAUUAGGAAGGCAACUUAAACUUUCUUCAAAGACCAAGUGCUCGACGAAUUAGCAAGUGGCGAGUGCAGCGAUUGGAACACUCAAAGUCGUAACCAUUGCUAGCAGAUCAUGGGAGUCCUUGAAUACUAGAGACCAUGACACUGCUCCAAUUGACGCUGAUCGAAAUGGCGCUAACGUGGGGCCAUUGCUGGAUUCUAUGUCGCCAUGCGAGGAUCUCAAUGACCUGAUUUGAGGUCGGUAGAUAACUGUGAGGGCAGAUUAGAAGAGGCUGUGUCACGGAUGGCGAUGUGGGAUGAGAACUGGGAGGCUAAUGUGCAGCUGUUGUAGUACUGGGCAGAGGGCAAAGGCACUCCGAGGCCAUUCAGUUAUCACCCGCACAUGGAAGGACAAUUUAAUGCUCGAGUAGAAGAAUUGCAUCGCCAGGAGAGGAUUUAUGUUGUACAAGCAAAGAGAAAGGCAGGUGACAAAAUGAAUGCCGCGUCGCCUCCCUCUGCGCCAAAGAAGCCGAGGAUGCCGGGACUAUUCGACUUGCGGGCAUUUGAAGGGUCUGUAACACUGCCAUGGUCUUGAGAUCACAGUAGUGGUGAAGGUUUCCGCCGUGCUUGGGAGGAAACUUUCCCAAUUCCAGAGUUCCAAGAGAAACUCAUGGGGUGUCUUUGGUGGUGGACAUCAAAAAAGUGCGACAAACACUUGGGCGAAGAGGUUAAAGCAAUUCGGGAAGACAUUUCAGCGUCCAUGGAUCAGCUCGUGGCAACUAAUGAGGAGGUUUUUGCCAAGCUACCCCACCUACCGUGGAGCCUCGACAGUAAGUGUUAAUUGCCGAAUUUUAAUGAGGAACUGUUUUGACUGUAACACUGGUUAAGUCUGCGACGCUGGCUUAGACUGUAACACUGGCUUAGCUUCUUGCUUAUUUUUUAUUGAUUCCCAAGAUGCUUUUCAAAAUAAUAUAAUAUCUGACCAUGGAUCCGUGUUCUUUGCAAUCACUGAAUCCCAAAUUGUUCGACGGAGGCUACUUCAACAGCGCGUUGAAUGGAAGAGACCUACCUCUUUGAUUCUGGUGCUGAGGAUCUUGUUUCUACAUGAGAAUGGGAUGUAUCGUCAAUUAACAUGCCCAAAGUUUGGAUUGACUUCUGCUAUCAUUCGAGAGACCUGUGUACAGGACACAAAGAUCACAAAGGCCUUAUCGGUGUUGUGUGCCUAUGGACCUUUUCUGUUUGCUAAAGUUGGGGAGGAAUCGCAAGAAGCUCUUCGGCAUCGUCUCAACAUCGAGAUUGCACAAAUCCAAGAGGGCAAGGGGGAUGAUCUCAUUGACGGAGCCAUGGAUUGGGUGAGGGUUGUGCAGAUGCGCGCGCUUCGGGGCCACGCAGCGGAGUAUUCACAGUGUUUUGACGAGGCUUGGAUCACGAUACACUACUAUCUUUGGGGAAAUCAAUCGAAACACUAGUAUAACACUCUACGAAUUAGGGAGGACCGUGACAUUGGAUGGGUGUCAUCUCUUAUUACACCUUCGUGGAGCAGCGGAGUAGCGACGUUGCACAACGAUAUUCAAAAGGCAGCCCGAUGCCUUGCAGUAGUCGUCCGAGAAGAAGACAAUGAUCGUUGGAUUUCUUGCGUGGAGAGCGGCAGUGUUUUAGAAGCUCAGACCUCUCUCCCUGCUGAGCCUAAUGUCGAGCACGUGAGCAUCAAAAAUCCAGCGUUGGAACUAACCGCGAUGGGUGCUGUCUCAAAGAGCAAAGGGCACCGCGAAGUCAACCUGGUGCCUGGUACCUUUCAAUCCACUGUGAUGCAUAGAUUCUCCCUGAUGAGUGAGCCAGUAGAGUCUCAAGGUCGGUGUCUCGGUGAUGAGGCAACCAGUGUUACAGAUUCGGUAGCACUGGGUGCUACCGUGGCCAGCUUAAAAAAGGGGGAAAUUGAGGAGGGAGAGGACGCUAGCAAGGUGAAUCCCUACGGAGAGGUGAGUCCAUUGAGGUGUGGGCUUCAUGCACUAUCAUCUACUAAUUGUUUUGGAAGUUUGCCUUCUCAUGAAAUGCCGCUCAUGACAUCAAAGGAAAUGGAACCAGUACCUAGUCAACAAGGCAAUGGUGAAGGGGACGCCCAAGGAAGUGAGCAGGGGCCGGCACUGAUAUUCCCAGAAAUCAAACAUGCAAUGGAGGCUGCUGAAGUUCCUCAAGAUGGUGAGUCUCUUUUGACCGUCACACAAGUUUUUUAAGGGGCAUACGGUGUUGAUGACAUGCCUCAAGCAGGGAUAGAAUUUGAAUGCAGUCUCUCUCAAUGGAUGGACACCACAACAUCGUUGAUGGCAAAUACUCCCCCACGAAGAGUGUCCCAAGUACACGGAACAUGAAAUGUAGAUCCUCCGAUUGUGCCUAGGAAAGACUCCUGUUCUAAAAAAUUAGAGAAGUUCUUUGAUGAAGACAGAGACAGGGAGGCUGUGAAAUAAUUCGUGGAUCUCUCUCAAGAUGGUCGUGACACUGUUGUAGGGGGCUCUAGUUCAGUGUUACACGUACCAGUACCCAUCGAAUCUGUGGAGUGUUGCCAAUAUGGUACACUUCAGAAAGCAUCAGAGGAAUGCAACAUUAGUGAUGCAAGCGCCUUCAAGAUCCACAGCUUGACUGAUGUGUAUGACCAACUUCGGAUAGACGCGCUGCUAAAGGGAGUUCCCACUAGGGGCGAUGGAACAGUUAGUAAUUUGAGCACAGUUUUCUUCAACCAUUCUGAGAAAGAGGUAGAAGUGAAACAUAUAGCCAUUCGGGACCUAAAAAAAGUGAGAAACCGGCUUGGGAAUGACGUUGUAGACUUUGUCCUCUCGCGGCUAUACAUGGCAUAUCCGGGAGAGAGCCGACAUGAAAUUCAAAUUGUUAGUUCUCGAGUGUGUGCAUACCUGGUGUCGGUGGUGUCAGGGAGCAUUCCUAUGGAGAGGUUUGUGAAGGAUUGGCUGCAACCCCCUCGGGAAGUGCAGGACUAGGUAAAGGAACUGAUUGUUCCCUGGGUUUGUGAUGGACACUGGUCCGUCCUGAUCUUGCAGCCUUAGCGAGUGUUUCACUUAAACUCCUGCUCUAAUGUGGUGCAUUUUCCCAAGGGAAAGCAUGCCGAUUUCGUAAGGUUGUUAUGCUCGGCGUGGAAGUGUCUGAGGGGAGUAGAAGAGUAUCAAGUGGAUAAUGUUCUAUCCAUUGAGGUGUUUCAGCAAAUUGGAAGCAACGAGUGGUCAUUUAUGCAUUCGCAUAAUCAUGUUGUACCUAAAGUUUCGAACAAAGGAAACAUCCACAAGGGAAGCGCAGUUGCUGUGCUAGUAUUUAAAACCCCACACUACAAUAGAGAUGAACAAAGAAAUAUUGGUGCUUCUGGCAAAGAAGUCAAACCCACAACGAAGAGAUGUCAGAUAUCAGGCCCGUUUUGUCAACUUCAGGCUCGUAACGCAGAACAAGCUGAAGACGAGGGGUUGGCGAUAGAUGGCGCAUCACCUCCUCUGGCAACAAAGCGCCGCACUCAUGCAUCUCAAAGGCCUUUGUCGAGAGACGGUCAAGACCAGGAGGCUUGAUCAUACUGUCACAAUUGCGACAUCUAGGUCUAUCUUGUGUUGAUCAUAGAUGACUUUUGUAUUCAUUGUGGUAGAGAUAUACAGUUUGGUGUGGGUAACUGCUCCACAAAACAUGUAACCUAUAUCCAACCAGGGUUGUUCAGUGGACCUCCCCGUCCGAAGUGCCGUCCGGUCCGCAUGUCCGUCCGUUAAUGUCCAUGAGAGGUCCGUUAUGGGUCAACUUAGGGUUGACCAUCUGAAGGGUUAAAAUGGAGUUACCUUAUCCACCUAGGAUGCCACGCGUCUGACAUGUCACCAAAUAUUCUGAGGAAUAAAGCUGACAUGGAGGGGCGCGAGCAUCUGGGGGGCGCGAGUGUCGGGGGCGCGCACGUGGGAUGGGGCGCGCGCGCCAGAACCUAGGAGAAUGAGACAGAACUUUCAUGCUUUUUGAGGCAUGCCUUCCAUGGACCAUAACCAAAUUUCAAUACAUGUUUAUGGAAAAAUACAUUCAAUAACAUUAGUCAAUGUUUUAUGGACAUUGAUUUAAAUAGAUAUCAAACCCUAUAUCUAUUAAA